CAAAGGAAGAGAGCGGCAUGCCUUCAGUACCUAGUUGUAAACCUCAGCAAGAUUACUUAUCAUAAUUCCAAGCCUCGACCCAUCAGUAUCCGCAAUCAAAGCCCACUACUCAAUUGGCUCAUUUUUAAUCCAUUCGGAGAAGCAUUUCACAGACCUUCCCCCCUUACGCUUCCUAGUGACUCAUGCAGGCUCACCAUCAAUAGGAUCUAACUCCGCGGCUCCACUUCACGCACCACAACAGGUUUCUUAUGAACAUCCUCCAUAUGACUGGUGGUCAGCUUGUCCAGGUCUGGCCAAGUGACAUCAACGUUCCUGCUCUCCUGCAAUUUCUUCACCGCUGACAAUAUCCCCUUAUGGCGGUCAUGGAGAACACACACGUUAGGCCUAUCACAAACCACGGCUCGCUUGAUCAGUGAAUGGAACCACAACCAGCUAUCAGCGUUCUCUGAUUCGACAAAUGCAAAAGCAAGAGGCACAACCUUGCCAUCUGCGUCCACCCCAAUGCAUCAAUGCUAGGAGCUGUGGAAGGUGGUGGUGCGAAUUCUUAUACGUUCCAAGCCUCCACUCCAGCGCCUUCUGCUUCGCUCGUCAUGCCAUUUCAU